rnacentral:rRNA from 1 species
GUGUCAGCCGCCGCGGUAAGACGGAGAGUGCAAACGUUGUUCGGAUUUACUGGGCGUAGAGGGCACGUAGGCGGCCAGGCAAAUCAGUUGUGGAAUCCCGACGCCUACCGUCGGAACGGCAAUUGAAAAUACCUGGCUCGAGGGCAUGAGGGGUCGCGGGAACUCUUGGUGGAGCGGUGAAAUGCGUAGAUAUCAAGAGGAACGCCGGAGGCGAAAGCGCGCGACUGGCAUGACCCUGACGCUGAGGUGCGAAAGCCGGGGGAGCAAACAGGAUUAGAUACCCGAGUAGUCC